AUUGAACGCUGGCGGCAUGCUUUACACAUGCAAGUCGAACGGUAACAGGUUAAGCUGACGAGUGGCGAACGGGUGAGUAAUGCAUCGGAACGUGCCCGAUCGUGGGGGAUAACGCAGCGAAAGCUGCGCUAAUACCGCAUACGAUCUGAGGAUGAAAGCGGGGGACCGUAAGGCCUCGCGCGAUCGGAGCGGCCGAUGUCAGAUUAGGUAGUUGGUGGGGUAAAGGCUCACCAAGCCAACGAUCUGUAGCUGGUCUGAGAGGACGACCAGCCACACUGGAACUGUGACACGGUCCAGACUCCUACGGGAGGCAGCAGUGGGGAAUUUUAGACAAUGGACGCAAGUCUGACCCAGCCAUUCCGCGUGCAGGAUGAAGGCCCUCGGAUUGUAAACUGCUUUUGUACGGAACGAAAAGGUCUCUCUUAGUACGGGGGACUCAUGACGGUACCGUAAGAAUAAGCACCGGCUAACUACGUGCCAGCCGCCGCCGUAA
rnacentral:rRNA from 1 species